GGUUAAGCGACUAAGCGUACACGGUGGAUGCCCUGGCAGUCAGAGGCGAUGAAGGACGUGCUAAUCUGCGAAAAGCGUCGGUAAGGUGAUAUGAACCGUUAUAGCCGGCGAUGUCCGAAUGGGGAAACCCAGUGCAAUUCGUUGCACUAUCGUUAACUGAAUACAUAGGUUAACGAGGCGAACCGGGGGAACUGAAACAUCUAAGUACCCCGAGGAAAAGAAAUCAACCGAGAUUCCCCCAGUAGCGGCGAGCGAACGGGGAGCAGCCCAGAGUCUGAAUCAGCUUGUGUGUUAGUGGAACGGUCUGGAAAGUCCGACGGUACAGGGUGAUAGUCCCGUACACCAAAAUGCACAGGCUGUGAACUCGAAGAGUAGGGCGGGACACGUGGUAUCCUGUCUGAAUAUGGGGGGACCAUCCUCCAAGGCUAAAUACUCCUGACUGACCGAUAGUGAACCAGUACCGUGAGGGAAAGGCGAAAAGAACCCCGGCGAGGGGAGUGAAAAAGAACCUGAAACCGUGUACGUACAAGCAGUGGGAGCACCUUCGGGUGUGACUGCGUACCUUUUGUAUAAUGGGUCAGCGACUUAUAUUCUGUAGCAAGGUUAACCGUAUAGGGGAGCCGCAGGGAAACCGAGUCUUAACUGGGCGUUAAGUUGCAGGGUAUAGACCCGAAACCCGGUGAUCUAGCCAUGGGCAGGUUGAAGGUUGGGUAACACUAACUGGAGGACCGAACCGACUAAUGUUGAAAAAUUAGCGGAUGACUUGUGGCUGGGGGUGAAAGGCCAAUCAAACCGGGAGAUAGCUGGUUCUCCCCGAAAGCUAUUUAGGUAGCGCCUCGUGAACUCAUCUUCGGGGGUAGAGCACUGUUUCGGCUAGGGGGUCAUCCCGACUUACCAACCCGAUGCAAACUACGAAUACCGAAGAAUGUUAUCACGGGAGACACACGGCGGGUGCUAACGUCCGUCGUGAAGAGGGAAACAACCCAGACCGCCAGCUAAGGUCCCAAAGUCAUGGUUAAGUGGGAAACGAUGUGGGAAGGCACAGACAGCCAGGAUGUUGGCUUAGAAGCAGCCAUCAUUUAAAGAAAGCGUAAUAGCUCACUGGUCGAGUCGGCCUGCGCGGAAGAUGUAACGGGGCUAAACCAUGCACCGAAGCUGCGGCAGCGACACUAUGUGUUGUUGGGUAGGGGAGCGUUCUGUAAGCCUGCGAAGGUGUGCUGUGAGGCAUGCUGGAGGUAUCAGAAGUGCGAAUGCUGACAUAAGUAACGAUAAAGCGGGUGAAAAGCCCGCUCGCCGGAAGACCAAGGGUUCCUGUCCAACGUUAAUCGGGGCAGGGUGAGUCGACCCCUAAGGCGAGGCCGAAAGGCGUAGUCGAUGGGAAACAGGUUAAUAUUCCUGUACUUGGUGUUACUGCGAAGGGGGGACGGAGAAGGCUAUGUUAGCCGGGCGACGGUUGUCCCGGUUUAAGCAUGUAGGCUGAUUGUCCAGGCAAAUCCGGAUAAUCAAGGCUGAGGUGUGAUGACGAGGCACUACGGUGCUGAAGUAACAAAUGCCCUGCUUCCAGGAAAAGCCUCUAAGCAUCAGGUAACAUUAAAUCGUACCCCAAACCGACACAGGUGGUCAGGUAGAGAAUACCAAGGCGCUUGAGAGAACUCGGGUGAAGGAACUAGGCAAAAUGGUGCCGUAACUUCGGGAGAAGGCACGCUGGUGUGUAGGUGAAGUCCCUGCGGAUGGAGCUGAGACCAGUCGAAGAUACCAGCUGGCUGCAACUGUUUAUUAAAAACACAGCACUGUGCAAACACGAAAGUGGACGUAUACGGUGUGACGCCUGCCCGGUGCCGGAAGGUUAAUUGAUGGGGUUAUCCGUAAGGAGAAGCUCUUGAUCGAAGCCCCGGUAAACGGCGGCCGUAACUAUAACGGUCCUAAGGUAGCGAAAUUCCUUGUCGGGUAAGUUCCGACCUGCACGAAUGGCGUAAUGAUGGCCAGGCUGUCUCCACCCGAGACUCAGUGAAAUUGAACUCGCUGUGAAGAUGCAGUGUACCCGCGGCAAGACGGAAAGACCCCGUGAACCUUUACUAUAGCUUGACACUGAACAUUGAGCCUUGAUGUGUAGGAUAGGUGGGAGGCUUUGAAGCGUGGACGCCAGUCUGCGUGGAGCCAACCUUGAAAUACCACCCUUUAAUGUUUGAUGUUCUAACGUUGGCCCCUGACCGGGGUUGCGGACAGUGUCUGGUGGGUAGUUUGACUGGGGCGGUCUCCUCCCAAAGCGUAACGGAGGAGCACGAAGGUUAGCUAAUCCUGGUCGGACAUCAGGAGGUUAGUGCAAUGGCAUAAGCUAGCUUGACUGCGAGCGUGACGGCGCGAGCAGGUGCGAAAGCAGGUCAUAGUGAUCCGGUGGUUCUGAAUGGAAGGGCCAUCGCUCAACGGAUAAAAGGUACUCCGGGGAUAACAGGCUGAUACCGCCCAAGAGUUCAUAUCGACGGCGGUGUUUGGCACCUCGAUGUCGGCUCAUCACAUCCUGGGGCUGAAGUAGGUCCCAAGGGUAUGGCUGUUCGCCAUUUAAAGUGGUACGCGAGCUGGGUUUAGAACGUCGUGAGACAGUUCGGUCCCUAUCUGCCGUGGGCGCUGGAGAAUUGAGGGGGGCUGCUCCUAGUACGAGAGGACCGGAGUGGACGCAUCACUGGUGUUCGGGUUGUCAUGCCAAUGGCACUGCCCGGUAGCUAAAUGCGGAAGAGAUAAGUGCUGAAAGCAUCUAAGCACGAAACUUGCCCCGAGAUGAGUUCUCCCUGAGACUUUAAGUCUCCUGAAGGAACGUUAAAGACGAUGACGUUGAUAGGCCGGGUGUGUAAGCGCAGCGAUGCGUUGAGCUAACCGGUACUAAUGAACCGUGAGGCUUAACCUU
rnacentral:rRNA from 1 species